UACGUAGGGGGCAAGCGUUGUCCGGAUUUAUUGGGCGUAAAGAGCGUGUAGGCGGCUUGGUAGGUCCGCUGUGAAAACUCGAGGCUCAACCUCGAGAUGUCGGCGGAAACCACUUGGCUAGAGUCCGGAAGAGGAGAGUGGAAUUCCUGGUGUAGCGGUGAAAUGCGUAGAUAUCUGGAGGAACACCGGUGGCGAAGGCGGCGUUCUGGACUGUAACUGACACUGAUGAACGAAAGCCAGGGGAGCAAACGGG
rnacentral:rRNA from 1 species